UACGGAGGGUGCAAGCGUUGUUCGGAAUCACUGGGCGUAAAGCGCGUGUAGGCGGCCUCCUAAGUCUGGUGUGAAAGCCCGGGGCUUACCCCCGGAAGUGCACUGGAUACUGGGAGACUAGAGUACCGGAGAGGAGGUGGAAUUCCUGGUGGUAGCGGUGAAAUGCGUAGAUAUCAGGAGGAACACCGGUGGCGAAGGCGGGUCUCUGGGCCGAUACUGACGCUGAGGAGCGAAAGCGUGGGGAGCGAACAGG
rnacentral:rRNA from 1 species